AUUGAACGCUGGCGGCAGGCCUAACACAUGCAAGUCGAACGAGUGGCGGACGGGUGAGUAAUGUCUGGGAAACUGCCUGCUGGUGGGGGAUAACUACUGGAAACGGUAGCUAAUACCGCAUACCAUCAGAUGUGCCCAGAUGGGAUUAGCUAGUUGGUGGGGUAACGGCUCACCCACGCGACGAUCCCUAGCUGGUCUGUGAGGAUGAAAAGCCACCCUGGAACUGAGACGCGGUCCAGACUCAUACGGGAGUCAGCAGUGGGGAAUAUUGCACAAUGGGCGCAAGCCUGAUGCAGCCAUGCCGCGUGUAUGAAGAAGGCCUUCGGGUUGUAAAGUACUUUCAGCGGGGAGGCGUUACCCGAAGAAUAAGCACCGGCUAACUCCGUGCCAGCAGCCGCGGUAAUUG
rnacentral:rRNA from 1 species